UACGGAGGGUGCAAGCGUUGCUCGGAAUUAUUGGGCGUAAAGGGUAGGUAGGUGGUCUCAUUUGUUUGGGGUGAAAUCCUUGGGCUUAACCCAAGAAGUGCCCCAAAAACGGUGAGACUAGAGUCCUGGAGAGGGUCGUGGAAUUCCCGGUGUAGCGGUGAAAUGCGUAGAGAUCGGGAGGAACACCAGAGGCGAAGGCGGCGACCUGGGACGGUACUGACGCUGAGACGCGAAAGCGUGGGGAGCGAACAGG
rnacentral:rRNA from 1 species